UACGGAGGAUCCAAGCGUUAUCCGGAAUUAUUGGGCGUAAAGAGCGCGUAGGCGGUCCGGUAAGUCGGUUGUGAAAGUCGGGGGCUCAACCCUCGGAUGCCGAUCGAUACUGUCGGGCUAGAGUCCGGAAGAGGCGAGUGGAAUUCCUGGUGUAGCGGUGAAAUGCGCAGAUAUCAGGAGGAACACCAAUUGCGAAGGCAGCUCGCUGGGACGUAACUGACGCUGAGACGCGAAAGCGUGGGGAGCAAACAGG
rnacentral:rRNA from 1 species